AUUGAACGCUGGCGGCAGGCCUAACACAUGCAAGUCGAGCGAGCGGCGGACGGGUGAGUAAUGUAUGGGGAUCUGCCCGAUAGAGGGGGAGAACUACUGGAAACGGUGGCUAAUAACGCAUACUAUCGGAUGAACCCAUAUGGGAUUAGCUAGUAGGUGGGGUAAAGGCUCACCUAGGCGACGAUCUCUAGCUGGUCUGAGAGGAUGAUCAGCCACCCUGGAUCUGAGACACGGCACAGACUCCUACGGGAUGCAGGAGUGGGGAGUAUUGCACUAUGGGCUGAAGCCUGAUGCAGCCCUGCCGCGUGUAUGAAAAGGGCAUUAGGGUUUUAAAGGACUUUCAGCGGGAAGGCGUUACCCGAAGAAGAAGCACCGGCUAACUCCGUGCCAGCAGCCGCGGUAAUAC
rnacentral:rRNA from 1 species